GGGCUCGUCGUUCAACGGCAGGACCGGCCUCUUAUAAAGACCAGACGAUAGUCCGACUCUAUCCGAGCCCA
rnacentral:tRNA from 1 species